AGUGAACGCUGGCGGUAGGCCUAACACAUGCAAGUCGAACGGCAGCACAGUAAGAGCUUGCUCUUACGGGUGGCGAGUGGCGGACGGGUGAGGAAUACAUCGGAAUCUACUUUUUCGUGGGGGAUAACGUAGGGAAACUUACGCUAAUACCGCAUACGACCUACGGGUGAAAGCAGGGGAUCUUCGGACCUUGCGCGAUUGAAUGAGCCGAUGUUGGAUUAGCUAGUUGGCGGGGUAAAGGCCCACCAAGGCGACGGUCCGUAGCUGGUCUGAGAGGAUGAUCAGCCACACUGGAACUGAGACACGGUCCAGACUCCUACGGGAGGCAGCAGUGGGGAAUAUUCGACAAUUGGCGCAAGCCUGAUCCAGCCAUACCGCGUGGGUGAAGAAGGCCUUCGGGUUGUAAAGCCCUUUUGUUGGGAAAGAAAAGCAGCAGGUUAAUACCCCGCUGUUCUGACGGUACCCAAAGAAUAAGCACCGGCUAACUUCGUG
rnacentral:rRNA from 1 species